UCAGCCACGACAUCACCUGAGGCUACCGUCGGCUUCCACGUGGAUCAGGGCCGCUGGCCUUCCCGAGGGACCCGACCGGCCGGCAGGGGGCAGUACAUAUCAGAGACCGGCUGGCAGGUGGCAUUAGAGGUCAGAGAUCGGCCGGCAGGUGGCAGUACAAGUCAGAGACCGGCCGGCAGGUGGCAGUACAAGUCAGAGACCGGCCGGCAGGUGGCAGUAGAGGUCAGAGACCGGCCGGCAGGUGGCAGAGCUCGCCUGAACUGUCAGCCAACAACAGUUUCUUCUUGGCAGAGAGCCAUGUUCUAUUCAUAUUUAGGGACAAGUUAUUCUGAGCUAAUUGGCACCUGAUGUUCCCUUAAUGAAGACAGAGAGGCCGUCAGCGGGCCCCGGAGAGCGAGUCGGAGGCGAACCUCCUGACAUGACGGAGAAAUGACACCGCCUCCCAGUAAUUAAGACUGCAGCGUUUACACAGAAACCCACAAGGAUGCAGAUUCAAAACACACAAGAGCCCACUAAUGAGCCCUUCAACCUGUUCUGAGCAAAACAUCAGCGAGCUAAUUAACAGGAGAAUCCCUCAUUAGGAAAUAACUUUUUUGUAAUUUCCUGGUGUCGUUGACUUGUACCUUUACGAUUUACAUUUUGUACUUUAAAGAUUAUACAUUUCAUUUAAAGCGCUUUGGGGCAGCAGCUGUUAUUCUAGUAAUUGAGUAUAUUCCAUAAAGCAAAUCAAAAAUCGGACAGAAAGUGGUUUUGCGUCAUCAAGAAAUUAACCAUUUAGUUUUGUUGAAUAAACCUGACUGAGGUUCCUGUAAAAUCAGACACUUAUUCUGUGUUAGCCCUUUAACCUCCUCACUAAGAAAAAAUAAGUGAAAACGUAUUUCUAUUUCAUUCUGUUUUUUAACAAUAACGUCGUUAAGAAGUAGAGAUGAAUCAUUUGUUCAAUGAGAUACCGUGACUCAACCAAAUGGUGGAGCAGGCACUAAAUUAUGCAUUAAAAGAUUGGAAAUUGACGCCUGUUCUCGGCCUUAUUAGUAACUUUUCGUAGGAUUUCACACAAACUGUUGUGUGAGGAUACGUCUAUCCUUUGACGUUAACACGGCUGCAAAAUAAAUCCUGUCCUGAGUAAAGCGCUCUUACUUUGAAAUGUUCACUGGAGGAAUUCAAUCCGGGCCUUUUCUCCACGAUCCAGUCUGAUAAUUCCCCCCCAGCAGCGUACGCAGACCCGCUACUGCUGAUAACGUCAGAAUAAUCCAGAUGUGCUGUGACUGCAGCGGAUUAGGAUGUCUCCAAACUUGCCGUUAGUGUUUCUGGCCGAACUGACUGUGUGGUUCGUUAGUGUAAAGGUUUAUGAAAAGGCUUCAUUAAAAUUGCAUCCAGCG
ensembl:lncRNA